rnacentral:rRNA from 1 species
UAGGGAAUUUUGCGCAAUGGGCGAAAGCCUGACGCAGCAACACCGCGUGAAUGUUAAGCCCUUCGGGGUGUAAAGUUCUGUCAGUGGGGACGAAACUUGACGGUACCCACAGAGGAAGCACCGGCUAACUCCGUGCCAGCAGCCGCGGUAAUACGGAGGGUGCAAGCGUUGUCCGGAAUCAUUGGGCGUAAAGAGUUCGUAGGCGGUAUGUUAAGUCUGGUGUUAAAGCCCGAAGCUCAACUUCGGUAAGGCACUGGAUACUGGCAAACUAGAAUGUGGUAGAGGUAAAGGGAAUUCCUGGUGUAGCGGUGAAAUGCGUAGAUAUCAGGAGGAACAUCGGUGGCGAAAGCGCUUUACUGGGCCAAAAUUGACGCUGAGGAACGAAAGCUAGGGUAGCAAAUG